GGACUACUGGGGUUUCUAAUCCCGUUCGCUCCCCUAGCUUUCGCACCUGAGCGUCAGGAGCCACCCAGAACACUGCCUUCGCCUUUGGUAUUCCUCCGGAUAUCUACGCAUUUCACCACUACACCCGGAAUUCUGUGUUCCUCUUUGGCCCUCAAGGGCGGCAGUCUUUGGGACACUCGACCGGUUGAGCCGACCGCUGUCACCCCAAACUUACCGCUCCGCCUGCGUGCGCUUUACGCCCAAUAAAUCCGGACAACGCUUGCCCCCUACGUAUUACCGCGGCUGCUGGCAC
rnacentral:rRNA from 1 species